rnacentral:rRNA from 1 species
GGGCCCGCACAAGCGGUGGAGCAUGUGGUUUAAUUCGAUGAUACGCGAGGAACCUUACCAGGGCUUAAAUGCAGAACGACCGGGAUAGAAAUAUCCCUUUCUUCGGACGGUCUGCAAGGUGCUGCAUGGUUGUCGUCAGCUCGUGCUGUGAAGUGUCGGGUUAAGUCCCAUAACGAGCGCAACCCCUAUUUCUAGUUGCCAGCGGUUCGGCCGGGGACUCUAGAGAAACUGCCAGCGUAAGCUGUGAGGAAGGUGGGGAUGACGUCAAAUCAUCACGGCCCUUACGUCCUGGGCCACACACGUGCUACAAUGGUGGGGACAACGAGUCGCAAACCCGCGAGGGUAAGCUAAUCUUCAAACCCCAUCUCAGUUCGGAUCGGAGUCUGCAACUCGACUCCGUGAAGUUGGAAUC